rnacentral:rRNA from 1 species
AUGCAUGCAUCAAUAUUCAAUACACAUAGCCAACAGAAAACAUCAAUUCUACAUGCUCAUACCAUGUCACUAAUUACCAUGCUCUUACCUUACAUCGGCCUACAGGGAUCCAAUUUUCAGCAAGAUCUGCAACAACAUAUAACAAGGGUUAGGAAAGUUUGCAAAAAAAUAACAAGGACCGAUAAAGACCUAAGGAAUUGCUUCCCGCAGGCAGUGGAGGUGGGACGUGAGAGCACGGAGGGACGCCGGGAAGAGGAGCAGGAAUGGCGGCGGACGGCUCGGGUAAGGCCAUGGCGGCCACGGGCAGAGAAGUGA